CCCACGAAAUCUGAUAGGCCCACCGCCAGUCUCGCCGCGUCCGCUUCCAACCGCCGGCCACCGCCCACCUCCAGCUCCGAAACCGUGAAGCCGGAGGACCGAGACGGCAAGACGGAGACAGGGGAGCCCUCUCAGGUUCGGCGACCUAGAGCUCCGCUUGUGCAUUCCUGGAGCGAGGGCAGAACGGGGCGGCAGCCGCUACAGCUCGCGCGAGAGGAGGGCGGGGAUGUCGAGGCCUCGAUGGUCCGCCGCCUCGGCUCCGGAUAACCACAUAGAGAAGGCGUAUGCUGGGCUGGUUCCGCCAAAGGAAGAGGAAGGAGCACCUAAGAACUGUAGGAAUGGGAGGCAUCAGGAAAACACUGAGACAAAUGUCUGUAUCCAAUAGUUUUCAUGCUUUCCUCCAUGUUCCCAUUCCCACCGCUCUUAGGUAUUCUCUUUCUUCCUCUUCCUGGCUUACUGGCCUAGUACAGCAAGAAUAGAAAGACUGAACUGAUGAAGGCUGUGGUAUGGUAUGCUGUGGUAUAUAUAAGGUCUCAGUACUUUAGACCAUACAAAAUCCUUGUGAGGGGAAAUAUAAGUGUAUGCAUCUACUUGCUACAGCAUGGUACACUGAUGCACAUUCUAUUCAAUGAAAGUGGGCCUGGAAGCAUCUAUUGGUAAAACGAUAGGUGACACAUUUGUAGACAGGGGAUUAUUACAUCUUAUUCCUUGAUAUUUCUAGAAGGCCAACAGCUAAGUCCUUGACACUAAUCAAUGCAACUACAGCACAGGGGAGAAACAAACUGUGAUUCAUUCAUGUUUUCAAAGAAUGAGAGAUCAGUGCAUGCGACUGAAGAUCAUUAGAAACAAGACAUUACUAACUUAGCACUGAUGGCGCUCUAUGCGAUAUAUGCCAGCUUGAUAUGACCCCAUGAGGUCACAAAUAUUAGAGGAAUUCACAUAUACUAGAAAACCACAUUUAUCAUGUAUUCAUUAACUGUGCACCAAAAUGAUAGGCAGAUUGAAAUUUGUACAAAGUAACAAAGAAAAAGCAAAAUUUGAACCAGAUCAUUAAUUUCACAAUUGGUGUGAUAAACACAAAUACGUUGUCACUAAUUGAUGAUCACAAUCUCCUAGAAGACUAAUUUUCUACUCUUACAUGUAUUCUUGAAUUCAAUUUUAAUGUUGAUUUAGCAUGAAGGUAUUGAUUUCAUCCUGAUGCGUGUAUGUUAAGUCUCAUUGUUAUGCACUGCCUUGAUAUUGGUUCAUAUCAUCAAUGCCUGCCAAUCAAUAAAGUAACAUGUACAUCAGAAUAUGAGACAAACUGCAUCCUGACCAUUUUAUAUCAACUUAACUUUUCUUUUUGUUCUGUUUCUAUCUGUCACUCAACAAUUGUAGAAGGCGUGCGUCAAAAUGGAGCCUGAGUAAUAAAGGACUUAACUUUCAUGUACACCUCACCAUUUGUUAUAUCAUUUUACGUGUUAUUUCUGUUUUAUUAUCAACUCUCUUAUGUAUGCAUUAGGAUCAGGUGCUUCCCCUUGUAUAAGAUUGGGGGUAUCAUACUAUCAUCUCGAAGUAUGUGUGUAUGUCUGAAGCUUCCUGCUUUAAUAUCUGUGUCAUAGUACAUGUCAAUGUUUUUUAAUCCAUCUGAUCAACAUCAAACCAGACUGUGGCACACCAAUUUUCAUAUGGGACCAAUAGUCAAACAUUGACCUUACUUAGAUAUAUAUAAGAGAACAUUGGGUAACUAACAUUUAGUGUAGGUAUCUUAAUACAAAAAUUGAUUAUUAUUUAUCUCUAUGCUGAAGCAGGCAUCUUUGUCAGAAUGCAGGUCCCUCUACAAGUGGUACGAGCUUGUUUAUUCCCACUUUUUCACCGUGAUAAGGAUCUUAAUCCCAAAAGAUAUGAACAACAUUUAUAUAAACUUGUGCUCAUGCAGUUGUAGACUGUACAGUACUUCAGUGACAGAUGAAAGCUAAGCAUAUUAACAACACUGAAUAAGUCCGAUGUUUGCGGGACUUGGAGAUCGGCUAUCCCUUCUAGUGUGAUCCUUCUGGAUGAGACAGAAGAGAAAGGAUCCAGUUCUCCAAAAGAAGUAAAAUAACUAGAUGGUAGCAAUCUGGCUCGUCAGUGAGUGCUUGUUCAGCUCUUGCUCUUCUUUUUAUGCAAUUUGUUUUAGAUAAACUCUUCUUCUAUUACAAACUGUGAUAUAGUCACUGUGGGGUACUUUCUUAAUCUGUAGUAUCAUUUUGUGCUAAUUAAUGCUCAGUUCACAGAAAAAUCAUUGGCCACAUUAUAAUUAUCUAACUUCACUGAAACCAUUUAAUAAUAGGCCAUUGGAAAUGGAAAUUUCUCAGAUCCCAUUAACGAUUUGACAUGUGUAUGAAGUUUAAUUAUUCGUAUAUGCUCUCAAGUUUGUACAACAAUGUCCUAGUUCGGCCACUAAGAUCCUACAAACCAUACUAAUUUUUUUGUCAUUUAUUUGUUUCCUUGAUUGCAAGCAUUUUGGCAAGUCCCAGGAAGAGGAAGGAACACCUAAGAACAAUAGGCAUGGGAGGCAUUGGGAAAGAAAAAGAACUUGAAUCCCCCUUAUUGAUCAUAGCUCAUUCUUUCCUCCAUGUUCCCAUGCCCAACGCCCUUAGAUACUCUUUUUCUUCAUCUUCCCAACUCACCCUCUAGCCCAUGAUCGUACUCUCCCUACGAACUCUCAAAUCUGUAUGUACUAUUAAAAGAACUGAGUGAGCUAAAUGGAAGAGGAAGGAGAACCUAAGAACGAUAGGAAUGGGAGGCAUUGGGAAAGCAAGAUACAACAUUCACCUCCAGUUGUGGAAGUGCACAUGCUUUCCUCCAUGCUCCCAUUCCCAUUGCUCUUAGACUAUCUCUUUCUUCCUCUUCCUGGUCCACCCUCACGGUCUAGGACUUGAAAAGUUUCAUAAUGAAAUGGAUGCAUGCAUUGCUAUGAAGCACACAUAUAUAAUCCCAGGGAGCAAAAGCACUGUACAGUGAACAAAAUCACCUACUACAGCAUCUGCAUGGUGCACAAAAGUACACUUCAUUCAAUGGCAUUAAUAUAUUGGGCUAUGUGACAUCUACUAUUAAUAAUAAAGAUCAAGUGUGGUGAUGAUGCCUGGAGAUUUUUUUUCAUGUGCCCAUCAAACGCGAGGAUAUUGUACAGGUGACAGCUUGGCAAGUUAAUGCUUGACUUAAUAAGCGAUGCAAAAUUACUUCCUGGCCUUUUGAGUAGUACUUUUAGGGAAAGAUAAGGAAAUCACGUUCUCAUCAUAGGGUACAUAUGCAAACAUGUACUCCCAGUUAUGGGUCCAAAUUCUUCCCAGUUUAACAGGAAAUCAAAACUAAGACAAAAGCAUUUAGUUGGUUUUAUAUAUGGAGAAUUCCAUCAACUAUUAGGUAAUGAUGGAUCUGUAGAAGACCACACAAUACAACAUCAACUAAGUUCUGUUCAUGCAUAGUGCAUUGGUGGUACCCUUUCUGUUGCUGCCCUUUCGGAGUUCCUUGAUCUUUGGGAUUUGUUGGCUGAGGUUACUUUGCAUCUCGAAGAUGAGCACAGUUUGAAGCAUUUUGAACCUGGGCAGUAUACGACCCGGGCAUCAUACCACCAAGCCUUGGUAACCUGUAUGAAUUCGUGGGCCCUUCAAGAAAAUUAAUGCCAUUUUUUUCUGUGGCUAGCAGUAGCAGUUCAUUGCUGAUGUCUGACUGCAGAUUGUUUGGCGAGAAGGGGACUGCCACAUCUUUAUGCAGUCAAGAAAAAUAGAGUGUCCAGCACAUAUGGGCAUCAUGUGUAUUCUCUGAUCAAGGCAGGUUUGGUUCUUGUUAUUUUGGAGAUUGGCCUAUAUGAUCCUUCAUCUCAGCCUGAUGACGUGUGGAGUUCAAAGUGUGGUACUGUGGUGGAUGAGAAUUAGCAUUUUGGACGCCACACCAUUGGAACGGGAGUAUGCUCAUUACUUUGGGGGCAGGGUUGAUAUGGAAAAAAAGGCUAAUUAAUAUUCAAGCCUUUGAGGCGAAAUUGCUUUUUGUUCUC